GAGGAAAGUCCGGGCUCCAUAGGGCAAGGUGCCAGGUAACGCCUGGGGGGUGUCACAGCCCACGACCAGUGCAACAGAGAGCAAACCGCCGAUGGCCCGCGCAAGCGGGAUCAGGUAAGGGUGAAAGGGUGCGGUAAGAGCGCACCGCGCGGCUGGUAACAGUCCGCGGCACGGUAAACUCCACCCGGAGCAAGGCCAAAUAGGGGUUCAUAAGGUACGGCCCGUACUGAACCCGGGUAGGCUGCUUGAGCCAGUGAGCGAUUGCUGGCCUAGAUGAAUGACUGUCCACGACAGAAC
rnacentral:RNase_P_RNA from 1 species